AUGCCAUACUCGUGUCCCCCAGCCGCUGAUCGGCAUGGAACCUUCCCCAAUUGCCGACAGAUAAACACCGUCCUAGCCCUAUUUCGAUCCCUAAACCCGAAUUUGAUGCUAGAUUUCACCAAAUUCUGGGUUGAAAUCUCAAAUUCUAUAGUGAUGAUGCAAGAUAAUCAAAGGCAACCAACGAGGUUCUCCUUUGCGAGCUAUAAGGUGCGACUAGCUGCUUUGGGCACAAAGAAGAGAAGACUGAAGGAUCUCGAAUAUUACCAACAUUGUUGGAAUAGAAGCCGAGGAUGGAGAUGA